rnacentral:rRNA from 1 species
UACGUAGGGGGCUAGCGUUGUCCGGAAUCAUUGGGCGUAAAGCGCGCGUAGGCGGCCCGGUAAGUCCGCUGUGAAAGUCCAGGGCUCAACCCUGGAAAGCCGGUGGAUACUGUCGGGCUAGAGUCCGGAAGAGGCGAGUGGAAUUCCUGGUGUAGCGGUGGAAUGCGCAGAUAUCAGGAGGAACACCAAGGGCGAAGGCAGCUCGCUGGGACGGUACUGACGCUGAGGUGCGAAAGCGUGUGGAGCGAACAGG